ACGAAAAAAAAAAAAAAAAAGGAAAGAACACGUCCCCCCCUUCGUCUUUCUGCAGCCCUUCCAGCUCGGUCCUCCAUUUCCCUUUUUGUAUUUUUUGCUUUUCAUUCCGUCCUC
rnacentral:ribozyme from 11 species